AAUGUGGAAAACUUGUACCCCUUUCUACACAGGUUGGGAUCAGUUGCAAUGCUGUGCGUUUCUGUGGUAUUGCACUUGUCCCGGCCUGUUGAGGUUGGUGGGGAUAGAGGCUGAAACAC
rnacentral:pre_miRNA from 7 species